GACGAACGCUGGCGGCGUGCUUAACACAUGCCCGUCGACCGGAAAGGCCCUGCUUGCCGGGUCCUCUCUUGGCGAACGGGUGUGUAACACGUGGGUGAUUUGCCCUGCACUUCGGGCUACGUCUGGGUCACUGGGUCUAAUCCCGGAUAGGUGCCAUUCUUUGUGUGAUGGCUGGCAAGCUUUUUUCGGUGUAGGAUGUGUUCGCUGCCUAUCAGCUUGUUGGUGCGGUAUUGGCCUACCGAGGAGGUGACGGGUAGCCGGCCUGAGAGGGUGGACGGCCACAUUGGGACUGAGGUGCGGCCCAGACGCCGACUGGAGGCAGCAGUGGGGAAUAUUGCACGAUGGGCGCAAGCCUGAUGCAACGACGCGGCGUGGGGGAUGGCGGCCUGCGAGUUGUAAACCCCUUCCUCUAGGGACAGAGCUUUUUGUGACGGUACCUAGAUAAGAAGCACCGGCUAACUACGUG
rnacentral:rRNA from 1 species